rnacentral:rRNA from 1 species
AACAAACGCUGGCGGCGUGCCUAACACAUGCAAGUCGUACGAGAAAGGGUUCUUCGGAACCUGAGUAGAGUGGCGCACGGGUGAGUAACGCGUGGAUAAUCUGCCCUUCAGUUGGGAAUAACUCAUCGAAAGGUGGGCUAAUACCGAAUAACGCUGUGAGACUUUGGUCGAUCAGCCAAAGAGAGCCUCUGCUUGCAUGCCCUCGCUGAAGGAUGAGUCCGCGUACCAUUAGCUAGUUGGCAGGGUAAUGGCCUACCAUGGCGACGAUGGUUAGCUGGUCUGAGAGGCUGAUCAGCCACACUGGAACUGAGACACGGUCCAGACUCCUACGGGAGGCAGCAGUGAGGAAUCUUGCGCAAUGGGGGAAACCCUGACGCAGCAACGCCGCGUGAGUGAGGAAGGUCUUCGGAUCGUAAAGCUCUGUCAGAUGGAAAGAACCACAUGGGGGUAAAUAGCCCCUGUGUCUGACGGUACCAUCAGAGGAAGCACCGGCUAACUCCGUGCCAGCAGCCGCAGUAAAAC